AGGUCAUCAUUGUAAGAAUGAAAAGAAUUCAGAAGAUGAGGAAUUGAAAUGUUGGAACCUCUAUUUCCUCAUAGCGGUAGAAAAAUCUCCGUUAAAUACCAACCAACUGUCCCAUCUCAGUUUGUCAUCCUGAGGGUUCUGGGCAGCCACAGAGUACUUUAAAAAAGACAACCACAGUUGGCAUUCCAGGGCAAAAGGCUCUAGAUUCUGUUUCUCCACUGAUUGGCUGGUCAAGAGAGGUGCUGGGGGAUCCCUCAGAAGCUGGAUGGAUUGGGAAGGACACACCGAGCUCCUUUCAGUUGACGAGAACAGCUCUGACUCCAGAAACGUCCUGGUAUCUCGCAAGGCAGUGGCACGAGAUCCCAGGCUCCCCUGCGCGGCGUCUUUAUGAACAAAAGGACGCAAUACCUGUGGCCUGGGGACACCACCAACCUGCCCAAGUCAGGAACCUUCGCUGUUACCUCCCUCGUGACUGAGCAGGUGGGAGGGGCCCCUCACCAGCCCUCCAAACUAGGCAGUGAAUGGGUGGGUCACAGGAACGACCCUCAGCCCUCUGGGUGCGUGAGGUAACCCUGUCCACUGACGCAAGUGGCACAAGGAUGCUACUGAA